UACAGAACGCCCGGGCUUCGGCCUGGUUAUUCAUAACCCUUUGUUGUCCGACUCUGUUGCCUCCGGGGCGACCCUGCCUUCGGGCGGGGGCUCCGGGUGGACACUUCAAACUCUUGCGUAACUUUGCAGUCUGAGUAAACUUAAUUAAUAAAUUAAAACUUUUAACAACGGAUCUCUUGGUUCUGGCAUCGAUGAAGAACGCAGCGAAAUGCGAUAAGUAAUGUGAAUUGCAGAAUUCAGUGAAUCAUCGAAUCUUUGAACGCACAUUGCGCCCCCUGGUAUUCCGGGGGGCAUGCCUGUUCGAGCGUCAUUUCACCACUCAAGCCUCGCUUGGUAUUGGGCAACGCGGUCCGCCGCGUGCCUCAAAUCGUCCGGCUGGGUCUUCUGUCCCCUAAGCGUUGUGGAAACUAUUCGCUAAAGGGUGUUCGGGAGGCUACGCCGUAAAACAACCCCAUUUCUAAGGUUGACCUCGGAUCAGGUAGGGAUACCCGCUGAACUUAAGCAU
rnacentral:rRNA from 1 species